UGUAAUAAAAACACAAAAAAUUCGAUGAUGAUGCACAUUUAGCUAUAUAUUUAACACAUUAAAAUUUUUCACAUUAACACAUUAAAUUAUACAUUUAAAUUAUUAUUAGAUGUUGCUUGUGAAUAAGAAAAUUUUUUCCCUAAUAGCAAAAACAAGUUUAAUUUGGUCACUGUGCAACACUGUGCAACACUGUGCAACACUGUGCAACAGAAAAUCUUGUCUCAUACAUUUGAUGUUUUUUGAAAUUUGGCAAUAUCGAUGACGAGAACAGCGAGUUGGCAAAAUCGAUAUAUAACUAUAUUAUACUGUAUAAUUCUUAAACUUGAUAAAUAAAUUUAAAAGUUUUAACCUAA